AUUGAACGCUGGCGGCAUGCUUUACACAUGCAAGUCGAACGGUAACAGGCCUUCGGGCGCUGACGAGUGGCGAACGGGUGAGUAAUGCAUCGGAACGUGCCCAGUCGUGGGGGAUAACGCAGCGAAAGCUGUGCUAAUACCGCAUACGAUCUGCGGAUGAAAGCGGGGGACCUUCGGGCCUCGCGCGAUUGGAGCGGCCGAUGUCAGAUUGGGUAGUUGGUGGGGUAAAGGCUCCCCAAGCCAACGAUCUGUAGCUGGUCUGAGAGGACGACCAGCCACACUGGGACUGAGACACGGGCCAGACUCCUACGGGAGGCAGCAGUGGGGAAUUUUGGACAAUGGGCGCAAGCCUGAUCCAGCAAUGCCGCGUGCAGGAAGAAGGCCGUCGGGUUGUAAACUGCUUUUGUACGGAGCGAAAAGGCUCUCUCUAAUACAGGGGGCUGAUGACGGUACCGUAAGAAUAAGCACCGGCUAACUACGUGCCAGCCGCCGCGGUAACAC
rnacentral:rRNA from 1 species